rnacentral:rRNA from 1 species
UGCCUUAGUAACGGCGAGUGAAGCGGCAAUAGCUCAAAUUUGAAAGCUGGCCCCUUCGGGGUCCGCGUUGUAAUUUGUAGAGGAUGAUUCGGCGAGGGCUCCCGUCUAAGUCCCUUGGAACAGGGCGUCAUAGAGGGUGAGAAUCCCGUAUGUGAUGGGCUGCCUUAGCCAUGUGAAUCUCCUUCGACGAGUCGAGUUGUUUGGGAAUGCAGCUCUAAAUGGGAGGUAAAUUUCUUCUAAAGCUAAAUACCGGCCAGAGACCGAUAGCGCACAAGUAGAGUGAUCGAAAGAUGAAAAGCACUUUGGAAAGAGAGUUAAAAAGUACGUGAAAUUGUUGAAAGGGAAGCGCUUGCAGCCAGACUUGUCCGCAGUUGCUCAGCUUGUCUCCUGACAGGCGUACUCUUCUGCGGCCAGGCCAGCAUCAGUUCGGGCGGUCGGAUAAAGACCUGGGGAAUGUAGCUCCUCUCGGGGAGUGUUAUAGCCCUGGGUGCAAUGCGGCCAGCCUGGACUGAGGAUCUCGCUUCGGCUAGGAUGCUGGCGUAAUGGCUGUAAGCGGCCCGUCUUGAAACACGGACCAAGGAGUCUAACAUCUAUGCGAGUGUUUGGGUGUCAAACCCAUGCGCGUAAUGAAAGUGAACGGAGGUGGGAACCCUCACGGGUGCACCAUCGACCGAUCCUGAUGUCUUCGGAUGGAUUUGAGUAAGAGCAUAGCUGUUGGGACCCGAAAGAUGGUGAACUAUGCCUGAAUAGGGUGAAGCCAGAGGAAACUCUGGUGGAGGCUCGCAGCGGUUCUGACGUGCAAAUCGAUCGUCAAAUUUGGGUAUAGGG